rfam:Helianthus annuus linkage group 6, whole genome shotgun sequence.
GGGAAAUGAUGAGUGGUCAAUGCUCGCACAUAAACAUGCGAGAUGGGGUGUUCACCCAAAGCCUGUUACGACAAUUGGGCACCUCAAUUCUUAAACCAUCUGAUCCC